rnacentral:rRNA from 1 species
AGGACGAACGCUGGCGGCGUGCUUAACACAUGCAAGUCAAGGGGGCCCAGUAGCAAUACUGGGCAACCGGCGAACGGGUGCGUAACACGUGAGCAACCUACCGAAAUGUGGGGGAUAGCCGGCCUAACGGCCGAGUAAUACCGCAUACGCUCUCGAUGAGGCAUUUCAUUGAGAGGAAACCUACGGGACAUUUCGAGGGGCUCGCGGCCUAUCAGCUAGUUGGAGAGGUAACGGCUCACCAAGGCAACGACGGGUAGCU